AACUUUGCGCAGAGGCAUUAUCGUAACCAAUGAUGUUAAUCCGAGGGGCGAUCAUUGUUAGUUGGUUUUAAGGUAAUGGGUGCUAUUAUUGAAACUAAUUAUAUAAUCAUAGUUUGAAAGUUUCUGUAAGC